UAAGCCCAGGCUUGGGUGCGGUCAACCAAGGUAAGUCCGUCCUAAGGACGGCGCCGCACCCCCUCUCCCGCAAGGGAGUGGGCCUGGGAGGAGGU
rnacentral:ncRNA from 1 species